GCCCUUACUCCUACGGGAGGCAGCAGUGGGGAAUAUUGCGCAAUGGCCGCAAGGCUGACGCAGCGACGCCGCGUGUGGGAUGACGGCCUUCGGGUUGUAAACCACUGUCGGGAGGGACGAAUACGGGGCCUCAAAUAGGGGACCCUGGGUGACGGUACCUCCAAAGGAAGCACCGGCUAACUCCGUGCCAGCAGCCGCGGUAAUACGGAGGGUGCGAGCGUUGUCCGGAAUUACUGGGCGUAAAGGGCGCGUAGGCGGUUCGUUAAGUUGCUGGUGAAAUCCCGGGGCUCAACUCCGGGGCUGCCGGCAAGACUGGCGGGCUAGAGCACGGUAGAGGCAGAUGGAAUUCCCGGUGUAGCGGUGGAAUGCGUAGAUAUCGGGAAGAAUACCGGUGGCGAAGGCGUUCUGCUGGGCCGUUGCUGACGCUGAGGCGCGACAGCGUGGGGAGCAAACAGGAUUAGAUACCCUGGUAGUCCACGCCGUAAACGAUGGACACUAGGCGUCGGGGGGAGCGACCCUCCCGGUGCCGUCGCUAACGCAGUAAGUGUCCCGCCUGGGGAGUACGGCCGCRAGGCUGAAACUUAAAUGAAUUGACGGAGG
rnacentral:rRNA from 1 species